AAUGUGCAUAUAUGCAUACAUGUCAUAGUUAAAAGGGGUCUGUUUUGUAUAUUCACCUUAAAGUUGAUAGGAAGGAAAUACCUUAAAGUUGAUACUCAAGACUCAAGAGGAACUGUCAAAGGCAAGUGCUUGGACAGAAAAAAAAUUACUUGCGUGGAUUUGGGAUCGGGCCACAACCCUCUUCCACAUUUGAUGCUGCGGCACGAGCUCGUGAUCAACAGAUGGAUGCAAUGAGAGCUGAGAUGGAGGCUCUUCAUGAGGAGCGGCAACGAGAUCAUGAAGAGCUGAUGAGGGACAGAGAGGAGGGCAAGAGAGAUCAUGAAGAGAUGAUGAGGGAGAGGGAGGAGUUGAUGAAACAAGCCGAAGAUGGGAAAAAAGCUCGGGAGGCACAAGUACAACUCAAUCAUUUGAACAACAUGGUCUCACGGCUCACAAGCCUCUUGCAGCCUUGAGAUGGUCAUUCUACUAUUUGAUGGCUUUUGCCAUGGAAUUUUGGAUACGGCUUUUUUUUGUCUACGGAAGACAUUGGUUUUUGUCUACAAAUUACUAUUGUUUGUACAGAUAACUAUUUGUGCGGUACGGAUUACUGUUUUUGCGUGGUACAAUUUACUUUAUUCACGU